UACGGAGGAUGCGAGCGUUAUCCGGAUUUAUUGGGUUUAAAGGGUGCGUAGGUUGUUUUUUAAGUCAGCGGUGAAAGUUUGUGGCUCAACCAUAAAAUUGCCGUUGAAACUGGAAGACUUGAGUGUGUUUGAGGUAGGCGGAAUGCGUGGUGUAGCGGUGAAAUGCUUAGAUAUUGCGCAGAACUCCGAUUGCGAAGGCAGCAUACCGGCGGCGAUCUGACGCUGAGGCACGAAAGCGUGGGUAUCGAACAGG
rnacentral:rRNA from 1 species